AAAAGCUAUAAUAAUAGAGUUGUAAAAUCAAAAACUUCGCUAGCGGUUUGACGUUUGCCGUAAACGUCAAUCUUAAGGUCUCUAAUGUAAAAAUAAUCCGCUUCCAACCCCGAUGGACGGCGUGACUGCAUGGCAUGCAUUUAGUUUAAUAAACUCAUAACACCCACCCCCCCCGUCGCCAAAAAAAUUUCGGUCAGUGUACCAUUUUAGGGGUCAAAAAAAUUUUCCGGACAUACCAAAAUUUUUCGGAACCUCAAACAAACUUUCCCAAAAAUCGAAAAAUUAACAUAUUUCCAAAAAAUUUUCCCCAUUUAUUUUUAUAAUAACCAAAUACUGCCCGACUGUGAAGCGAAAAUUGCCCAACUGGCUUUGUUUGCCCAACAAACUGGGGUUAUUAUUAAGAGAGAUUUUCUUGUUUUGACUACUUUUUGCCCGACUUUUGC